rnacentral:rRNA from 1 species
UACGAAGGGAGCUAGCGUUGUUCGGAAUCACUGGGCGUAAAGCGCACGUAGGCGGACGUGUCAGUCAGGGGUGAAAUCCCGGAGCUCAACUUCGGAACUGCCUUUGAUACAGCACGUCUUGAGUCCGGAAGAGGUGGGUGGAAUUCCUAGUGUAGAGGUGAAAUUCGUAGAUAUCGGGAGGAACACCGGUGGCGAAGGCGGCGACCUGGGUCGAGACUGACGCUGAGGCGCGAAAGCGUGGGGAGCAAACAGG